AAGUCGUAACAAGGUUUCCGUAGGUGAACCUGCGGAAGGAUCAUUAACAGUGCUCGUAGUGCUCUUGCGCAAGCAAAUCACUACAACACGUACCAUCAUGUGUGAAUCGUUUUGACCAUCUAAUGUGCGUUUGUGAGGACCAGGGCGUCACUCAGGUACAUGCUCAUUGUUGCGAAAUGAUCAUGCUCCUGUUUGGAACUACUACCUCUCGAACGCACGUUCAUUUUACCCCACCUGUCCUUUUGAACACUGAAUAGUAAAGCUUAGUUGAAAAACUUGCAAAACUUUUAGCAAUGGAUCUCUAGGCUCUU
rnacentral:misc_RNA from 1 species